rnacentral:rRNA from 1 species
GAUGAACGCUGGCGGCGUGCUUAACACAUGCAAGUCGAGCGAAGCGCUAAAGCGGAUUUCUUCGGAUUGAAGGUUUAGUGACUGAGCGGCGGACGGGUGAGUAACGCGUGGGUAACCUGCCUCAUACAGGGGGAUAACAGUUGGAAACGGCUGCUAAUWCCGCAUAAGCGCACAGUACCGCAUGGUACGGUGUGAAAAACUCCGGUGGUAUGAGAUGGACCCGCGUCUGAUUAGGUAGUUGGUGGGGUAACGGCCUACCAAGCCGACGAUCAGUAGCCGACCUGAGAGGGUGACCGGCCACAUUGGGACUGAGACACGGCCCAAACUCCUACGGGAGGCAGCAGUGGGGAAUAUUGCACAAUGGGGGAAACCCUGAUGCAGCGACGCCGCGUGAGCGAAGAAGUAUUUCGGUA